AGCAGUAGCCGCGGGAAUACGUAGGGUGCAAGCGUUAAUCGGAAUUACUGGGCGUAAAGCGUGCGCAGGCGGUUAUAUAAGACAGAUGUGAAAUCCCCGGGCUCAACCUGGGAACUGCAUUUGUGACUGUAUAGCUAAAGUACGGCAGAGGGGGAUGGAAUUCCGCGUGUAGCAGUGAAAUGCGUAGAUAUGCGGAGGAACACCGAUGGCGAAGGCAAUCCCCUGGGCCUGUACUGACGCUCAUGCACGAAAGCGUGGGGAGCAAACAGGAUUAGAGACCCCUGUAGUCCCUGUCUCUUAUAC
rnacentral:rRNA from 1 species